rnacentral:rRNA from 1 species
AUUGAACGCUGGCGGCAGGCUUAACACAUGCAAGUCGAGCGGGGGGAGGUAGCUUGCUACCUAACCUAGCGGCGGACGGGUGAGUAAUGCUUAGGAAUCUGCCUAUUAGUGGGGGACAACAUUUCGAAAGGGAUGCUAAUACCGCAUACGCCCUAAGGGGGAAAGCAGGGGAUCUUCGGACCUUGCGCUAAUAGAUGAGCCUAAGUCGGAUUAGCUAGUUGGUGGGGUAAAGGCCUACCAAGGCGACGAUCUGUAGCGGGUCUGAGAGGACGAUCCGCCACACUGGGACUGAGACACGGCCCAGGCUCCUACGGGAGGCAGCAGUGGGGAAUAUUGGACAAUGGGGGGAACCCUGAUCCAGCCAUGCCGCGUGUGUGAAGAAGGCCUUUUGGUUGUAAAGCACUUUAAGCGAGGAGGAGGCUACUGGUAUUAAUACUACUGGAUAGUGGACGUUACUCGCAGAAUAAGCACCGGCUAACUCUGUGCCAGCCGCCGCCGUAAUAC